UCAUCUGGCAACACUGCCUGAGGAACACAAACAAACACAACAUACAUCAGACAGACCACACCGGCCACAGCGGCGCAAUCACAAUAACACUUAUAACAGUGACAGUCGGUGGUGCUGGUGGCGGUGCAGUGGUGCUGGCUGCAUCCUGGAGGUGGAGAGUGACAAGAAGUGUUGAUUGCUGAGAACAAUGGAGUAAUAUCUCAACACAACACAAGUGACAGCCAUGUCUAAGGAAGAGGACAGUGCAAAAAACCCUGAGGGGGCAUGGGCAGCAGCAGGGUUUGCUGUGGUGCUGCUGGUGGUGGGGGUACCUGUAUGGUGGUUCACAACCACUGUGUACCGUGCACAGCUGCCUUACAGCACCAUUGAGACACUCUCCAGCCAGCUGCGGCACCACACUGUUGGCCUCACUAUCGUGGGCUCCAUGCCGCCAUUGUUCCAAGAUGACUUGGCCAAGAGUCUUGGAUCAAUGCAGAGUGUGAGGUUCCAGAUGUCUCAGAGGCAGCCCACCAAGGAGGAGCGUCAGGCCCUGCACUCCGCCAAGACUCCUGACGAGCUGGACCGACAAAUGAGCCAGCUGGUGCGGGUGGCGGCUGGCAUGCUGGCAGUGGUGGUGGUGCCAGAAACCAUGGAGGUCAAAGAAGUGGUGGUGGGCACAGACCGUCUCAUCUACAUUAAGCCCAGUGCUGACCUUCAAGUUGUGUCCAAUGUGGUAAGGAACAUGGUGAUGGACCCGUUGGCCAGCCGGUACGCCUUCACCAGUCGACCGCUGCACCACAAGAAGGAGGCUAUGAGACAGGUGCCCACUGAACCUGGCUAUGAUGUGACCCUGACAUUGAUGGUGCCAGAGCCUCACCGCACCAAGAUAGAGUGGGACGCCAGGGCUGCAGUGACAGAUUACCUGAGUCCUGUGGUGAAGCAGCUAGAGAAGGUUAGCAAGCUGACAGUGCGCUCCCAGGUGCUGUACAUGACGGGCCUCAGUGUGUCUCCGCAGUGGUCCGAGGCACACCGCCACUAUGCUCUGCCUGAGAAUCAGCUGCCACUCACCAUCAAUGCCAUCGAGGCCAAACUAGGAUCCUUUGUGUGGACCCGGCCUUCCCUACACUUUGUGGUGUACAUUCCUCGAGAGAAGCAGCUGCCCCUCCACAUCCAUGCUGCAGAUGGCUCUCCUCUGCCCUCCAACAGCUUCUUGGUGCCUCGGUGGGGAGGUGUGAUGAUCCACAAUGUGCCCAACGCGGCGCCCAACGUCUCACUGCCACGCCCCGUCACCCUUGACUCUCACUGGAUCAUGAGCACUGUCCUCACCCACCUGCACCGCCUGCUGCCCAUCCCCUCCCUGAGAGAAAUAGAGGGUGUGGAGACUCUUGCUCUGAAGGACUCUUCAAUGCUGACAGCCUGGCAACUAGACGGUUUAGCCCGGGCCAGGGUUUCAGCUUACUUGUCCAACAUCCGCAUCACACUGCAGUCACUGUGUGAGCUGGUGGGGGAGAUUAGCAACAUGGUGAUCAGCGAUGAGGUUGGAGGAUGGGUGUGGGGUGCAGUGGAGGAGUGGGGGGAGUGUGGCCGGGCAACCAGAGAGGGGCGCCUUCAGGAUGCAACGCUGUACUGCACCAGGUCCUUCACACAGGCUGACGCAGCGUUCUUCCACCCCUCCAUGCUGGCGCUGCUCUACUUCCCCGACAACCAAAAGUAUGCUAUCUAUGUGCCCCUGUUCCUGCCUGUGAGCAUACCAGUGCUGCUGUCCCUCAAGAUGGUGUUUGGCCUUUGCAGGAAGUCAAGUGCCAAGGAAAAAAGCGAGUAAAUGUACUGUACAUAAAGUACAUACUCUUGAACUAACCAUUUCAUAGCUCACAGUUGUUAACGUUUGUAGUGAUUUCAUGAUUAGGACAUGAUAACACAUUCCAUGUAAAGUUAAGCAAUUGUGUGAAUUGAAAGUUUAGCUUUGGACAGUUUAGUUUUUCAGAUUCACUGUAUGUACAUGGUUCUGGCAAGAAGUUGUAUAGUUUGAUGUUUGAUUAGGCUCCUCCUGGGGCCAGGGGAGAUGCAUUGUGCUGUGGGGACUUGUCUUUGUAUACACUGUACUAGUAUUGAUAAACAGGUAAAUAAGUAUGGCAUGCAAGCUGAGGAAUUGUAAUCUUAGCAGGAAUGGGUGAUUAACAUUGUUCUCAUGUGUGUGUGUGUGUGUGUGUGUGUGUGUGUGUGUGUGUGUGUGUGUGUGUGUGUGUGUGUGUGUGUGUGUGUGUUUAUGUGUCAUUCACUGACAGUCAUCUGCUAGUCACCCAGUCAGCCAUUCUCCUUCAGAAGGAGCUCAGAGCUCUUAGUGAUCGAUAUUUGCGUACAAUUGCCUCACCAUGCCUGGGACUCUUACCUGGCCCUUCUCAGUUAUGGGCCAAGUGUGCUAACCAGUGUGUGUGUGUGUGUGUGUGUGUGUGUGUGUGUGUGUGUGUGUGUGUGUGUGUGUGUGUGUGUGUGUGUGUGUGUAAGUGAAUUUCUCUUUGAGGUGUAUGACAUUACCAUCCAGGAGCACUGUUCUGAAGUAUGUCAGGGUAUAUAGGUGUGGAAGUGUGGGAUGCUAUGACAGCUGUGAGUCACUUGUAAUCCCUUUCAUGCAUUACUGAGGCUUGUGUGGUCCUGCUGAAUAGGAGUCGCUACAAUGAUGACAAAAUAUCUCUCUAUCUAUAUACCAGGCUGGCAGUCCCACACAGGGCAGCCCACACACUCAUACACAAUGUUCUCGCUCUUAACCUGUCAGCUCCUGAUGGCAAGAGAUCCCUGGCCCAUCCUGCCACACACUACACAGGAACCUAGACAUAACACAGCUGGCCACAUACCUCCACAGCAAGGUCAGGCAGCAAACAAUGGCUUACACUUGAUGGACAGCCUCUUGCAGCCUUCCUCAUUUUCUUAUGCCUUGUGUUCACAAUGAGACCACUCUUUACAAAAAUACAUGUACACAUAGAAAUAGUGUUAAUGAAGUUAAUACCAUUCUUAAGACUUUUGGAAAACAAACUAAUGUAAAAGGCAAGCUUGAGAGGGUCACUGGAUCAGACUCUUGACAGGCCAUUCAAGGUAACACAAAGCAAACACAUCACCAACAUGAUCACCAAUGCUUGAGUGGGUUGGGUUGGCCUUGACUGUCUGGCUAGCACACAGUCAAUGCAGUGUUUUGUGUUGGCUGGUAAGGAAAAUGACUUUUGUUCAUUGUGAGUGUGAAGUGUGAUGCUUUUUUAGGUUGUGUUGUGUGCUGGUGUGGUCCUGGUAGCAUAGAGUCUUAGCAAGUCUAGCUAGAUAACCCAGAAGUGGUCAGUGUGUCUAUGAGAGAAGUGGUUGCAGUGCUGUUGUAAGAUACUUGUAAAUAAAAUGUGGUAUGGACUC